rnacentral:rRNA from 1 species
GUCGAACGGUAACAGGAAACAGCUUGCUGAUUUGCUGACGAGUGGCGGACGGGUGAGUAAUGUCUGGGAAACUGCCUGAUGGAGGGGGAUAACUACUGGAAACGGUAGCUAAUACCGCAUAACGUCGCAAGACCAAAGAGGGGGACCUCCGGGCCUCUUGCCAUCGGAUGUGCCCAGAUGGGAUUAGCUAGUAGGUGGGGUAAAGGCUCACCUAGGCGACGAUCCCUAGCUGGUCUGAGAGGAUGACCAGCCACACUGGAACUGAGACACGGUCCAGACUCCUACGGGAGGCAGCAGUGGGGAAUAUUGCACAAUGGGCGCAAGCCUGAUGCAGCCAUGCCGCGUGUAUGAAGAAGGCCUUCGGGUUGUAAAGUACUUUCAGCGGGGAGGAAGGGAGUAAAGUUAAUACCUUUGCUCAUUGACGUUACCCGCAGAAGAAGCACCGGCUAACUCCGUGCCAGCAGCCGCGGUAAUACGGAGGGUGCAAGCGUUAAUCGGAAUUACUGGGCGUAAAGCGCACGCAGGCGGUUUGUUAAGUCAGAUGUGAAAUCCCCGGGCUCAACCUGGGAACUGCAUCUGAUACUGGCAAGCUUGAGUCUCGUAGAGGGGGGUAGAAUUCCAGGUGUAGCGGUGAAAUGCGUAGAGAUCUGGAGGAAUACCGGUGGCGAA